rnacentral:rRNA from 1 species
UGGCGCACGGGUGAGUAACGCGUGAGAAUCUGGCUCCAGGUCGGGGAUAACAGUUGGAAACGACUGCUAAUACCGGAUGUGCCGAGAGGUGAAAGAUUUAUUGCCUGGAGAUGAGCUCGCGUCUGAUUAGCUAGUUGGUGGUGUAAGGGACCACCAAGGCGUCGAUCAGUAGCUGGUCUGAGAGGAUGAUCAGCCACACUGGGACUGAGACACGGCCCAGACUCCUACGGGAGGCAGCAGUGGGGAAUUUUCCGCAAUGGGCGAAAGCCUGACGGAGCAAUACCGCGUGAGGGAGGAAGGCUCUUGGGUCGUAAACCUCUUUUCUCAAGGAAGAAGAAAGUGACGGUACUUGAGGAAUAAGCAUCGGCUAACUCCGUGCCAGCAGGCCGCGUAAUACGGAGGAUGCAAGCGUUAUCCGGAAUGAUUGGGCGUAAAGGGUCUGCAGGUGGAACUGAAAGUCUGCUGUUAAAGAGUUUGGCUUAACCAAAUAAAAGCGGUGGAAACUACAGAACUAGAGUGCGGUAGGGGCAAAAGGAAUUCCUGGUGUAGCGGUGAAAUGCGUAGAUAUCAGGAAGAACACCGGUGGCGAAAGCGUUUUGCUAGACCGUAACUGACACUGAGGGACGAAAGCUAGGGGAGCGAAUGGGAUUAGAUACCCCAGUAGUCCUAGCCGUAAACGAUGGAUACUAGGCGUGGCUUGUAUCGACCCGAGCCGUGCCGGAGCUAACGCGUUAAGUAUCCCGCCUGGGGAGUACGCACGCAAGUGUGAAACUCAAAGGAAUUGACGGGGGCCCGCACAAGCGGUGGAGUAUGUGGUUUAAUUCGAUGCAACGCGAAGAACCUUACCAAGACUUGACAUCCUGCGAAUCCUGGUGAAAGCUAGGAGUGCCUUAGGGAGCGCAGAGACAGGUGGUGCAUGGCUGUCGUCAGCUCGUGUCGUGAGAUGUUGGGUUAAGUCCCGCAACGAGCGCAACCCUCGUUUUUAGUUGCCAGCAUUAAGUUGGGCACUCUAGAGAGACUGCCGGUGACAAACCGGAGGAAGGUGAGGAUGACGUCAAGUCAGCAUGCCCCUUACGUCUUGGGCUACACACGUACUACAAUGCUACGGACAGAGGGCAGCAAGCCAGGGAUGGCAAGCGAAUCCAGAAACCGUAGCUCAGUUCAGAUCGAAGGCUGCAACUCGCCUUCGUGAAGGAGGAAUCGCUAGUAAUUGCAGGUCAGCAUACUGCAGUGAAUUCGUUCCCGGGCCUUGUACACACCGCCCGUCACACCAUGGAAGUUGGUCACGCCCGAAGUCAUUACCCCAACCGAAAGGAGGGGGAUGCCUAAGGUAGGACUGGUGACUGGGGUGAAGUCGUAACAAGG